AUUCUGUAAUAUAUGUAUGUUAUUCAUGAGCAAAACAACUAUUUCUAGCUGCGAGCCGAGUGGAUAGAUAGAAAGAUAACCCACCGCCGGCACCAAGGUCGAAAUAGUUGAGAGCGCGUGAGUCGCUCGCGCCUUAGCCAAUCCGAUCUGAUUCUGAAUGGUUCGGAGCAAGAAUACAUAGAAAUACUCGUAGUUUCAGAUACAUAUUGAUGGUAUACCGUAUACCGGUGAAACGAUUUACGCAGUACCCUCGCAUAAAGCCAUUCAGCAUAUAAACUUGUGCGGAAGUGACCAGGGGAGGGCCGGCAGGCAGGCAGGCAGGCCCCCUUCGAUGAGCAAAAACCGGUGCGGAGCUGUGCGAUCAAUGCUCUCUUCUCUCAAGUUGCGAUUAGCGGAAAAAAGUUUAUGCGAAAUUCAACAAAUUGUUUAACAAAAAGCCAACGCAUCGAUAACGAGCUACAAAAAAUAUUUAUAUGGCCAGAGGUAUCAUAAAUUAAGCGACCAGGGCCAUUAGUCGGAAGGGAAAUUCCACAUUAAGGGUAUCGAUCUCUCCUCAUAAGCUGUUGGACCGAUCAAUCCGCCCGUUGGAUAGUUUUCUCUCUGGCGAUUUCAUAAUUGUGGGUUAAUUGUUUUGCUUUGAAUAAAGCGUAAACAACUAAAUACGCUUCCGCGUCGCCGGCUGUUUGUGCCCCCCCCUCCCCGCCGAGUAACAGUAGCUGUUGUUCUAUUCCAACUUGUUUACCCGCCUCUGAUUGGUGGCCGGCGUGGGGCUCGACGCUGCUCCCCCGCCCCGAGUGUUGUGGUAGCAUAUUCAUAUAUGCUACAGAAGAACGUGCGCUUCAAAAUAACAACAGCCAACGAUAAUUUCGAUUCUGUUUUGUAUUUUUCUUCCAAGGCUUAAGUAAUUUUUAGUUUUUUCUUUCUUAAUGAACUUUUACGAAAACAAAGCCAUUAAAACAUUUACACAAUCGAGUAGGCGACGAGUGUGGUGGAAUUGGAUAGCGAUAGAGGGUUGUUAUUGUGUUUUUAUUAUAUUCUACUGCUGUCGUAUGGAGGGGGGAUGCUCUGAUAUCAGCGGAAAUCCAGAGCCAGCAAUCAAUAUAAU
rnacentral:sRNA from 1 species